rnacentral:rRNA from 1 species
GUGGGGAAUCUUGCGCAAUGGGCGAAAGCCUGACGCAGCCAUGCCGCGUGAAUGAUGAAGGUCUUAGGAUUGUAAAAUUCUUUCACCGGGGACGAUAAUGACGGUACCCUGAGAAGAAGCUCCGGCUAACUUCGUGCCAGCAGCCGCGGUAAUACGAAGGGGGCUAGCGUUGCUCGGAAUUACUGGGCGUAAAGGGCGCGUAGGCGGACAGCUUAGUCAGAGGUGAAAGCCCAGGGCUCAACCUUGGAAUUGCCUUUGAUACUGGCUGUCUUGAGUUUGGAGGAGGUGAGUGGAACUCCGAGUGUAGAGGUGAAAUUCGUAGAUAUUCGGAAGAACACCAGUGGCGAAGGCGACUCACUGGCCCGAUACUGACGCUGAGGCGCGAAAGCGUGGGGAGCAAACAGGAUUAGAAACCCCUGUAGUCC